rnacentral:rRNA from 1 species
AUGAACGCUAGCUACAGGCUUAACACAUGCAAGUCGAGGGGCAGCAUUUUAGUUUGCUUGCAAACUGAAGAUGGCGACCGGCGCACGGGUGAGUAACACGUAUCCAACCUGCCGAUAACUCCGGAAUAGCCUUUCGAAAGAAAGAUUAAUACCGGAUAGCAUACGAAUAUCGCAUGAUAUUUUUAUUAAAGAAUUUCGGUUAUCGAUGGGGAUGCGUUCCAUUAGUUUGUUGGCGGGGUAACGGCCCACCAAGACUACGAUGGAUAGGGGUUCUGAGAGGAAGGUCCCCCACAUUGGAACUGAGACACGGUCCAAACUCCUACGGGAGGCAGCAGUGAGGAAUAUUGGUCAAUGGGCGAGAGCCUGAACCAGCCAAGUAGCGUGAAGGAUGAAGGCUCUAUGGGUCGUAAACUUCUUUUAUAUGGGAAUAAAGUUUUCCACGUGUGGAAUUUUGUAUGUACCAUAUGAAUAAGGAUCGGCUAACUCCGUGCCAGCAGCCGCGGUAAUACGGAGGAUCCGAGCGUUAUCCGGAUUUAUUGGGUUUAAAGGGAGCGUAGGUGGAUUGUUAAGUCAGUUGUGAAAGUUUGCGGCUCAACCGUAAAAUUGCAGUUGAAACUGGCAGUCUUGAGUACAGUAGAGGUGGGCGGAAUUCGUGGUGUAGCGGUGAAAUGCUUAGAUAUCACGAAGAACUCCGAUUGCGAAGGCAGCUCACUAGACUGUCACUGACACUGAUGCUCGAAAGUGUGGGUAUCAAACAGGAUUAGAUACCCUGGUAGUCCACACAGUAAACGAUGAAUACUCGCUGUUUGCGAUAUACAGUAAGCGGCCAAGCGAAAGCAUUAAGUAUUCCACCUGGGGAGUACGCCGGCAACGGUGAAACUCAAAGGAAUUGACGGGGGCCCGCACAAGCGGAGGAACAUGUGGUUUAAUUCGAUGAUACGCGAGGAACCUUACCCGGGCUUAAAUUGCAACAGAAUAUAUUGGAAACAGUAUAGCCGUAAGGCUGUUGUGAAGGUGCUGCAUGGUUGUCGUCAGCUCGUGCCGUGAGGUGUCGGCUUAAGUGCCAUAACGAGCGCAACCCUUAUCUUUAGUUACUAACAGGUUAUGCUGAGGACUCUAGAGAGACUGCCGUCGUAAGAUGUGAGGAAGGUGGGGAUGACGUCAAAUCAGCACGGCCCUUACGUCCGGGGCUACACACGUGUUACAAUGGGGGGUACAGAAGGCGGCUACCUGGUGACAGGAUGCUAAUCCCAAAAACCUCUCUCAGUUCGGAUCGAAGUCUGCAACCCGACUUCGUGAAGCUGGAUUCGCUAGUAAUCGCGCAUCAGCCAUGGCGCGGUGAAUACGUUCCCGGGCCUUGUACACACCGCCCGUCAAGCCAUGAAAGCCGGGGGUACCUGAAGUACGUAACCGCAAGAAGCGUCCUAGGGUAAAACUGGUAAUUGGGGCU